rnacentral:misc_RNA from 1 species
GCCAAUCACUCACAAACGUCUCAUAGAGAAAGAGCUCGAGGGAUUUGGCAUUAGGUUGAACAAGGAACCACCUAAUAUGACAUUCAGGAAGAAGGAGAAGGGUGGUAUUAAUUUGACGUCAACGGUUACCAAUACCCAUUUGGACCUCGACACUGUGAAGGCCAUAUGCAGCGAAUACAGAAUACAUAAUGCUGAUGUUCAUCUUAGGUAUGAUGCAACUGCUGAUGACCUGAUUGAUGUCAUUGAAGGCAGUAGAGUAUACACACCUUGCAU